rnacentral:rRNA from 1 species
UACAGAGGGUGCGAGCGUUAAUCGGAAUUACUGGGCGUAAAGCGCGCGUAGACGGUUAUUUAAGUCGGGUGUGAAAGCCCCGGGCUCAACCUGGGAAUUGCAUUCGAGACUGAAUAGCUAGGGUACGGAAGAGGCGAGUGGAAUUCCUGGUGUAGCGGUGGAAUGCGCAGAUAUCAGGAGGAACACCAAUAGCGAAGGCAGCUCGCUGGGACGUUACUGACGCUGAGGCGCGAAAGCGUGGGGAGCGAACAGG